UCCUCAGAAGAGGCAAAUCAAGUGCUUCAGGUGCAGGCAUGGCAAGAAGAAGUGGAGCGUGCACGCCAAGGUCAGAGGGAAGCUGAAAGCAAGCUUGCUUCUUUGGAGGCUGAAAUGCAAAAGUUAAGAGUUGAAACAGCUGCCAUGAAAAGGGAUGCUGAACAUUACUCUCGCCCGGAACAUGUGGAACUUGAAAAGCGGUAUCGUGAAUUAACUGAUCUAUUGUAUUACAAGCAAACACAGCUUGAAGCCAUGGCCAGUGAAAAAGCUGCGGCUGCGUUUCAGUUGGAGAAAGAAGCAAAGCGUCUUCAGGAAGUACAGUUAGAAGCUGAACGAAACAGAUCUUCUCGUCGAGCAUCAUCCUCGUGGGAGGAAGACACUGACAUCAAAGCACUUGAGCCUCUCCCUUUACAUCACCGACACAUGACUAGGGCGACGAUACAGUUACAGAAGGCCGCGAAGCUUCUGGAUUCCGGGGCUGUCAGGGCAACACGAUUUCUCUGGCGAUGUCCAACUGCUCGAGUUAUCUUGCUUUUUUAUCUGGUGUUUGUCCAUUUGUUCUUGAUGUAUCUCUUGCAUCGCCUUCAGGAACAAGCUGAUACUUUUGAAUCCAAAGAAGUUGCAAUAUCAAUGGGGCUCGUCAACCAAACCUUACCAUGAGCCUUCCUGCUAGAGGACCGACCAUUCAGGUUCUCUCUUUGCUGAUGAGUUGCUCGAUAAACCAAUCUCAUUUAAGCACCCGUAGUAUUGCAGAAUCACUAAACGUUUGAAGAAGAAUAUUUCAUUUGGUUUGCUUUCAGCGCAACUUGGAAGAUAGCGUGAUUUAUACUGUAACUGCAGUCUGAUGAGUCCAAAAAAAAGAAAUUGAACUUCAACAAAGUAUGUUACUGACGAAUCAGAAUUGUG
rnacentral:misc_RNA from 1 species